GAUGAAGAACGUAGCGAAAUGCGAUACUUGGUGUGAAUUGCAGAAUCCCGUGAACCAUCGAGUCUUUGAACGCAAGUUGCGCCUCAAGCCAUUAGGUUGAGGGCACGUCUGCCUGGGCGUCACAUAUCGUUGCCUGAUGCCAGUUUCCUCGUGAUGGGUGACUGUGCAGGGCGAAUGAUGGCUUCCCGUGAGCAUUGUUGCCUCAUGGUUGGUUGAAAAUUGAGUCCUUGGUAGGGAGCGCCGUGAUAGAUGGAGGUUGAGUGACGAACGAGACCCAAUCAUGUGAGACCCCUACCGAAUUUGGCCUUCAUGACCCACAUGCGUCUUUGGAACGCUCAUGACGAGACCUCAGGUCAGGCGGGGCUACCCGCUGAGUUUAAGCAUAUCAAUAAGCGGAGGA
rnacentral:misc_RNA from 1 species